AAUCAACGCUGGCGGCGUGCCUCAGACAUGCAAGUCGAACGCGAAAUUUCCCUUCGGGAGAAAGUAGAGUGGCGCACGGGUGAGUAACACGUAGGUAAUUUGCCUUUGGGUGGGGAAGUAACUCAGGGAAACUUAGAGCUAAUACCGCAUAAUGCAGCGGCUCGACAUCGAGACAGUUGUUAAAGCGGGGGAGUUGGAGCAAUCCGACCUCGCGCCUAAAGAGAAGCCUGCGGCAGAUUAGCUAGUUGGUAAGGUAAUGGCUUACCAAGGCGACGAUCUGUAACCGGCCUGAGGAGGGCGGUCGGUCACACUGACACUGACAUACGGGUC
rnacentral:rRNA from 1 species